AAAAAAAAAAAAAAAAAAAAAACAUAAAAAAAAAAAAAAAAAAAAAUCCUCCCUUGUACUCUCUAUUCAACAAAAACAUUCUCUUCCAGUCUUCCUCGAGUCUCUUGCUUGAUCAAAAUUGUGUUACAGGGUUAAUUAAUUUGGGCCUAAGCCAGAAUCCAGCCCAAACAAGUUAAAGAAACACUGGCCACAGAUACGGCCUGCAAAGAGUAGAAAACUUAACGGCGGGAUAUUGACUUAGAGGUGACAUGUGAUGCAUGAUGAUGGGCGGUGCGCGGUCGGUCAAUAUUAGCACAAGUGGUGAUUCAUUCGGAUAAUGAUGAAAAUUGCUUGACGGGAACAAAACAUUGUCGGCGUGUUUUGCCUCAUAUUUACUGCAAUUUAUUAUUUUUUUAAUAAUCAAGAAUAUUCAUUAUUUUAAAUAAUCUAAAAUUUUUUUAAAUAAAUUAUAGUUAACAAACAUAAAAUUAUUUUU
rnacentral:misc_RNA from 1 species